UUAUUUGAGAGUUUGAUCCUGGCUCAGGGUGAACGCUGGCGGCAUGUCUAAGGCAUGCAAGUCGAAUGCUAAGUUUACUUAGCAUGGCAAACGGGAGAGUAACACAUUGGUAAUCUGCCUCUAUCUCAGGCAUAACCCUACGAAAGUGGGGAUAAUUCCUGAUAGUCAUGGGGGGACACAAGUCGUUCCCAUGUAAAACUCCGGUGGAUAGAGAGGAGCCUAUGGCCUAUCAGCUUGUUGGUGAGGUAAAAGCUCACCAAGGCAACGACAGGUAGCGGGUGUGAGAGCAUGGCCCGUCUCACUGGGACUGAGAACUGCCCAGACUCCUACGGGAGGCUGCAGUCAAGAAUCUUCCUCAAUGGACGAAAGUCUGAAGGAGCAAUGCCGCGUGAUCGAUGAAGCCCCUCGGGGUGUAAAGAUCUUUUAUCAGGGACGAAUCCGUGACGGUACCUGAAGAAUAAGUCACUGCUAACUUCGUGCCAGCAGCAGCGGUAAUACGAAGGUGGCGAGCGUUACCCGGAUUGACUGGGCGUAAAGCGUCCGCAGACGGACAACCAAGUCUUUGGUUAAAUCCUGAGGCUCAACCUCAGGACCGCUAAAGAUACUGUUUGUCUAGAGGCUGGGAGAGGCAAGCGGAAUUACUGGUGUAGUAGUAAAAUGCGUUAAUAUCAGUAAGAACACCAAAAGCGAAGGCAGCUUGCUAGAACAGUCCUGACGUUCAGGGACGAAAGCGUGGGGAGCGAAUGGGAUUAGAUACCCCAGUAGUCCACGCUGUAAACGUUGGAUACUAAAUAUUGGAAGUAUCGACCCUUCCAGUGUUGUUUACCUAAGCUAACGCCUUAAGUAUCCCGCCUGGGAAGUACGGCCGCAAGGCUAAAACUCAAAGGAAUUGACGGGAACCCGCACA
rnacentral:rRNA from 1 species